rnacentral:rRNA from 1 species
GACGUAGGGGGCGAGCGUUGUCCGGAUUUAUUGGGCGUAAAGCGUGCGUAGGCGGCUGCGCAAGUCGGGUGUGAAACCCCGGGGCUCAACCCCGGAACUGCAUCCGAUACUGCGUGGCUAGAGGUAGGUAGGGGAGAUCGGAAUUCCUGGUGUAGCGGUGAAAUGCGCAGAUAUCAGGAGGAACACCGGUGGCGAAGGCGGAUCUCUGGACAGUUCCUGACACUGAGGCACGAAGGCCAGGGGAGCAAACGGG